UGGUAAUAAUACUGUUAUAAGCAAUACAGCAUAUCUUUGUAUUAAAGUUCCUGUCAUGGAUAGCACUUUGGAUGCUAAUCUAAGACUAGGAGACAUCAGAGAGUAUGAUUGUACAUUAGGUUAUAGAUACUCAGGAGUAACUGUGCAAUGGUUAGAAUAUGGAUCUAAUAAAGUAUUGAAUAAUCCUCUCAUAUUAACAAUGAAUCAAUCGGUCAACAAUGCAUAUUAUAUGUGCCUAGUCACAGUAGAUAAAAAUCCGAAAAACUGUCCUUCUUAAAAAGCAAACUUGAUCAUUAAAAUAAAAGUAACAAGCAGAAGUAGCAGGAAUUACAGAAAUACUAG